UUCGCAAUGCCCGAAAGGGUGACGAAGCGACGCCGCGUGUGGGAAGAAGGCCUUCGGGUUGUAAACCACUGUCGGGAGUUAAGAAAUACAAGGAUAUUAAUAGUGUCUUUGUUUGACUAAGGCUCCGGAGGAAGCCACGGCUAACUCUGUGCCAGCAGCCGCGGUAAUACAGAGGCGGCAAGCGUUGUUCGGAAUUAUUGGGCGUAAAGAGCACGUAGGCGGCUAUGUAAGUCGGUUGUGAAAGCCUUCCGCUCAACGGAAGAACAGCAUCCGAUACUACAUGGCUUGAGUGCGGGAGGGGAGAGUGGAACUUCUGGCAUGUGGAGCGGUGAAAUGCGUAGAUAUCAGAAGGAACGCCGGCGGCGAAAGCGGCUCUCUGGCCCAUAACUGACGCUGAGUGUGCGAAAGCUAGGGGAGCAAACGGGAUUAGAUACCCCGGUAGUCCUAGCCGUAAACGAUGGGCACUAAGUAGAGGGGA
rnacentral:rRNA from 1 species